GGGCCCUAACACAUGCAAGCCGAGCGGUAGAGUUUCUUCGGAAACUUGAGAGCGGCGCACGGGUGCGUAACACGUGUGCAACCUACCUUUAUCUGGGGGAUAGCCUUUCGAAAGGAAGAUUAAUACCCCAUAAUAUAAUGAUUGGCAUCAAUUAUUAUUGAAAACUCCGGUGGAUAGAGAUGGGCACGCGCAAGAUUAGAUAGUUGGUGAGGUAACGGCUCACCAAGUCAAUGAUCUUUAGGGGUCCUGAGAGGGAGAUCCCCCACACUGGUACUGAGACACGGACCAGACUCCUACGGGAGGCAGCAGUGAGGAAUAUUGGACAAUGGGUGAGAGCCUGAUCCAGCCAUCCCGCGUGAAGGAAGACGGUCCUAUGGAUUGUAAACUUCUUUUGUACAGGGAUAAACCUACUCUCGUGAGGGUAGCUGAAGGUACUGUACGAAUAAGCACCGGCUAACUCCGUGCCAGCAGCCGCGGUAAUACGGAGGGUGCAAGCGUUAUCCGGAUUUAUUGGGUUUAAAGGGUCCGUAGGCGGACUUGUAAGUCAGUGGUGAAAUCUCAUAGCUUAACUAUGAAACUGCCAUUGAUACUGCAGGUCUUGAGUAAAUUUGAAGUGGCUGGAAUAAGUAGUGUAGCGGUGAAAUGCAUAGAUAUUACUUAGAACACCAAUUGCGAAGGCAGGUCACUAAGAUUUAACUGACGCUGAUGGACGAAAGCGUGGGUAGCGAACAGGAUUAGAUACCCUGGUAGUCCACGCCGUAAACGAUGCUAACUCGUUUUUGGAUUUUCGGAUUCAGAGACCAAGCGAAAGUGAUAAGUUAGCCACCUGGGGAGUACGUCCGCAAGGAUGAAACUCAAAGGAAUUGACGGGGGCCCGCACAAGCGGUGGAUUAUGUGGUUUAAUUCGAUGAUACGCGAGGAACCUUACCAAGACUUAAAUGGGAAUUGACAGGUUUAGAAAUAGACCCUCCUUCGGGCAAUUUCCAAGGUGCUGCAUGGUUGUCGUCAGCUCGUGCCGUGAGGUGUUAGGUUAAGUCCUGCAACGAGCGCAAC
rnacentral:rRNA from 1 species